rnacentral:misc_RNA from 1 species
UCUCCGUAGGUGAACCUGCGGAGGGAUCACUACAGGCUUGCAAAAGCUCUGAAACCACUGUUUAUCUACCUGAAUCUGCUUCGGCGGGCGGCCCCAGGGCGGGGCCGUAGCCGCAAGGCGCCCGCCGAAGACCCCUAACCUCUGUCGUCUUGAGAAUCUCUGAGUAAUUAUAUUAAACAAAAAACAACUUUCAACAACGGAUCUCUUGGCUCUG